GACGAACGCUGGCGGCGUGCUUAACACAUGCAAUUCGAACGGAAAUGCCCUGCUUUUGUGGGGUGCUCGAGUGGCGAACGGGUGAGUAACACGUGAGUAACCUGCCCUUGACUUUGGGAUAACUUCAGGAAACUUGGGCUAAUACCGGAUAGGAGCUCCUGCUGCAUGUUGGGGUUUGGAAAGUUUCGGCGGUUGGGGAUGGACUCGCGGCUUAUCAGCUUGUUGGUGGGGUAGUGGCUUACCAAGGCUUUGACGGGUAGCCGGCCUGAGAGGGUGACCGGCCACAAUGGGACUGAGAUACGGCCAAGACUCCUACGGGAGGCAGCAGUGGGGAAUAUUGCACAAUGGGCGGAAGCCUGAUGCAGCAACGCCGCGUGCGGGAUGACGGCCUUCGGGUUGUAAACCGCUUUCGCCUGUGACGAAGCGUGAGUGACGGUAAUGGGUAAAGAAGCACCGGCUAACUACGUG
rnacentral:rRNA from 1 species